GUCCAUCGCGUGGGCGACCUUCCUUGCUCUCUGAGUAUCAUGAGUUUCAGUCAAACAGAAGAGAAAAGUUGGCGUAGUGAGGGAAAGUGUGGGAGAGAAUCAAGGACUGAUUAACCAAUCGCGUGCUCUCGCACAGUAGAAAUCGCUCGCGCCUACAUCGGUCCGCCAAAGACAAAGAGAGAAACGGUCGGAGUGAAGAGAGAGAGAGAGAGAUUAAGGCGCAUUUUUGAAUUUGAUGGUCAGUUCAGGGGUUCAGACUGCGGAACCCUUUUAUACACUGAAGGGUUCGGUGGCCCGCAGUGGAACUUUAUAUACCUAGUGCUUUGGUAUAUAUGUACAAAAAACAUCUGUAGGUAUAUUAUGAUCUUCUAUGGCGUCAUUUCCUACUGCUGAGGAAUCUAUGGCUGAGAUCUACAGAGCGUACUUUGGCUUUGGUUUGGUUUUUACUAGAUUUAUGCCAGUGACACUAACACUGUUUCGUUUUAGCAGCAUUAUAAGUCUGAGCUAAGUCAGCUCUAAUAUAAGAUCUCAGCCUAAGAAUUGCUAUAUCAUAGCGCAAAACAUGGUAAGCAUGGUAAUGGACCCCAACUUGAAAAGGCCCAAGAUAAUUCGUGAUCUCUACCUAUAUUUUAAGAAGAUUUUACCCCCAACUUAAAAUGUUGGUGAGGGUCUCGCAUUAGUAGGCACUUUAUAAUAUUAAAGCUACUUUUUCUCAUCCAUUAAGUACCUACUUCAAGCCUGACACCCCCAAACUAAAAAUUUACUAAAGGUCCAUGUUGUUUCGCCUUUUUGAAAAUUAUUUAUUCCUAGUCGGGUACUAUAUUUUCAAAUUUCGAAUGUGAGCGCGCGCCAUUUUCUUUUAAAGAUUCUUGCCAGUUUUAUCUAUCUUUAAGCUUUUAACCAAUAUUCAAAGUGUUUCACCAAAGAAAGGGCCCCACCUGAGUUGUUGGCAUUGAUUUAAUUAGCAGGUAUAUAGUUAAUGAUUUAAUACAAUAAUUCAUGUAAUAGUUUGUCGAGAAAUUUUAGCCAAAAUCUGUAUUUUUUAUAUAAGAAAAUAUAUUUUUUAUGUAAAGAAAUCUCACGUUAUGUUAUGGCUUAGGAUACCAAAGAAAAUACAAAGUAGUUAAAUAAAUGUUUUAAAUGUGCAUUCAA